rnacentral:rRNA from 1 species
UACGUAGGGGGCUAGCGUUGUCCGGAAUUAUUGGGCGUAAAGGGCGCGUAGGCGGCCCGGUAAGUCAAAGGUGAAAUCCCUCGGCUCAACUGAGGAACUGCCUUGGAAACUGUCGGGCUUGAGGCCGGGAGGGGGUAGCGGAAUUCCCAGUGUAGCGGUGAAAUGCGUAGAUAUUGGGAGGAACACCAGUGGCGAAGGCGGCUACCUGGACCGGUUCUGACGCUGAUGCGCGAAAGCGUGGGUAGCAAACAGG